rnacentral:rRNA from 1 species
AGAGUUUGAUCCUGGCUCAGAUUGAACGCUGGCGGCGUGCUUAACACAUGCAAGUCGAGCGGAGAUAUGAAAUCUGAGAGCUUCGGCAGGGUGAUUUCAUAUUUUAGCGGCGGACGGGUGAGUAACGUGUGGGCAACCUGCCCUGUACUGUGGAAUAAUCACUGGAAACGGUGACUAAUACCGCAUGUCAUCCGAAGAGGGCAUCCUCUUUGGAGAAAAGGAUUUAUUCGGUACAGGAUGGGCCCGCAUCUGAUUAGCUAGUUGGUGAGAUAACAGCUCACCAAGGCAACGAUCAGUAGCCGACCUGAGAGGGUGAUCGGCCACAUUGGGACUGAGACACAGCCCAAACUCCUACGGGAGGCAGCAGUGGGGAAUAUUGGGCAAUGGGCGCAAGCCUGACCCAGUGACGCCGCGUGGGGGAAGAAGUCUUUCGGGAUGUAAACCCUUGUUGUACGGGACGAAACGAAUGACGGUACCGUACGAGGAAGCCCCGGCAAACUACGUGCCAGCAGCCGCGGUAA